rnacentral:rRNA from 1 species
AGUGAACGCUGGCGGUAGGCCUAACACAUGCAAGUCGAACGGCAGCACAGUAAGAGCUUGCUCUUACGGUUGGCGAGUGGCGGACGGGUGAGGAAUACAUCGGAAUCUACUUUUUCGUGGGGGAUAACGUAGGGAAACUUACGCUAAUACCGCAUACGACCUACGGGUGAAAGCAGGGGAGCUUCGGGCCUUUCGCGAUUGAAUGAGCCGAUGUCGGAUUAGCUAGUUGGCGGGGUAAAGGCCCACCAAGGCGACGAUCCGUGGCGGGUCUGAGAGGAUGAUCAGCCACACUGGAACUGAGACACGGUCCAGACUCCUACGGGAGGCAGCAGUGGGGAAUAUUCGACAAUGGGCGCAAGCCUGAUCCAGCCAUACCGCGUGGGUGAAGAAGGCCUUCGGGUUGUAAAGCCCUUUUGUUGGGAAAGAAAAGCAGUAGGUGAAUACCCCGCUGUUCUGACGGUACCCAAAGAAUAAGCACCGGCUAACUUCGUG